GAUGAACGCUGGCGGCGUGCUUAACACAUGCAAGUCGAACGAGAAGUGGAGACGGACACCUUCGGGCGGAAGACUUUAUUUCGAGUGGCGGACGGGUGAGUAACGCGUGGGUAACCUGCCUCAUACAGGGGGAUAACAGUUGGAAACGACUGUUAAUACCGCAUAAGACCACAGCACCGCAUGGUGCGGGGGUAAAAACUCCGGUGGGAUGAGAUGGACCCGCGUUCGAUUAGCCAGUUGGCGGGGUAACGGCCCACCAAAGCGACGAUCGAUAGCCGAUCUGAGAGGAUGACCGGCCACAUUGGGACUGAGACACGGCCCAAACUCCUACGGGAGGCAGCAGUGGGGAAUAUUGCACAAUGGGGGAAACCCUGAUGCAGCGACGCCGCGUGAGUGAAGAAGUAUUUCGGUAUGUAAAGCUCUAUCAGCAGGGAAGAAAAUGACGGUACCUGAGUAAGAAGCCCCGGCUAACUACGUG
rnacentral:rRNA from 1 species